CCUACGGGAGGCAGCAGUGGGGAAUAUUGGGCAAUGGGCGCAAGCCUGACCCAGCAACGCCGCGUGAAGGAAGAAGGCUUUCGGGUUGUAAACUUCUUUUGUCAGGGAAGAGUAGAAGACGGUACCUGACGAAUAAGCCACGGCUAACUACGUGCCAGCAGCCGCGGUAAUUCGUAGGUGGCAAGCGUUGUCCGGCUUUACUGGGUGUAAAGGUCGUGUAGCCGGUUUGACAAGUCAGAUGUGAAAUCCUUCGGCUUAACCGCAGAACUGCAUUUGAAACUGUUGAUCUUGAGUACUGGAGAGGCAGAUGGAAUUCCAAGUGUAGGGGUGAAAUGGGUAGAGAUUAGGGGGAGCACCAGUGGCGAAGGCGGUCUGCUGAACAGCAACUGACGGUGAGGCGGGAAGGCGUGGGGAGCAAACAGGAUUAGAUACCCGAGUAGUC
rnacentral:rRNA from 1 species